rnacentral:rRNA from 1 species
CCUACGGGAGGCAGCAGUGAGGAAUAUUGGUCAAUGGCCGAGAGGCUGAACCAGCCAAGUCGCGUGAGGGAGGACGGCCCUACGGGUUGUAAACCUCUUUUGUCAGGGAGCAAGGGACAGGUCGUGACCUGUUGUGAGAGUACCUGAAGAAAAAGCAUCGGCUAACUCCGUGCCAGCAGCCGCGGUAAUACGGAGGAUGCGAGCGUUAUCCGGAUUUAUUGGGUUUAAAGGGUGCGCAGGCGGAGGCACAAGUCAGCGGUAAAAUCGCGGGGCUCAACCCCGCUCCGCCGUUGAAACUGUGUCCCUUGAGUGCGCGAAGGGUAGGCGGAAUGCGUGGUGUAGCGGUGAAAUGCAUAGAUAUCACGCAGAACUCCGAUCGCGAAGGCAGCCUACCGGCGCGCUACUGACGCUCAUGCACGAAAGCGUGGGUAUCGAACA